CUCUAUGCGGACAUCAUCAGAAGGGAUUCUCCGAGCCAAUCACAAUGCUUACCCAUUUGAUUGGCUUAGACUGUGAAGGGGGCAGAGCCAGCACAAGUCAAACACAGCCCUGGCCAAUCAGCAUCUCCUCAUGUGCGCUGGUGUCAGAUGCCACUUUUGUAAAGAACUGACGUUAACCAGGCUGGAAAACGAGGCUACUGGAGGUGGAG